GUGACAUAAAUCAAUCUUUAUUUAAAACCUGGUCUGUUAAUGGGUCGGAUGUAUAAAACCCGGUCUGUGAAUUGGUCUGUUAAGAGUUAUGAAUGGCAAUAAAAGUAUAAUUUUAUUGCUAUAUGGGGUGUUAUCGGAUCAAAUGAGUAGGCUCAAGACGAGCGGCUAAAAUAUACGAAAACAACACAUGAGCAAUGAAACAUAAGAUAUACGGAAACAACACAUGAAAUUGAAAAUUGAUAAAAAUGGUUUCAAAAAGUGUAAUAUUAAAGUAAUAUUAAUUUCAUCCAAGAAUGAUCGCAUAUAUCAUGUUGAUUCUGUUUAAUUGUCAUGAAUGACACAAAUUUGUCAUUUACAUUGGUAACCAGUAUAUAAAUCAGAGAUAAACGUCGUAAUGUAACUAAACAUCAGUAAGUAAAAUAUAUUGGGAUGACAAAAUAUGAAAAAUAAAGAAAGAAUAAUGAGUAAGAUAAAUAAAAUGUAGAAAAAAAUGACAUAACAAUUUAAAGAAUACAGAAAUAAACAAUACCCCCAAUCUGGCCCCUCAUGGUAUACACGAGAAUCUGGAUGGAAACGCAGAAUAUAGAAUAAUAUAUAAGGACAGUAGAGAGUGAUACAUUGCUAAAAACGAGAAGAAAAUAAUACUUGUUUAAGAAUACACACAUGAAACACCGAUGGCUGUUGAAACAGUAACGGAUUGCGAUGUACUUAUAUUGGUGACAAAUUUUAGAAGUUUACAUGCGGACAACUAUGGUGGCAGGUUAAUGCCAAUUUGCGUUUUAGCGCUUUAGCGUUUUCGCCUUACAUAUUCUAUAUGGCGAAAACGCAAAUUGCGAAGUCGAAAACGCGAAAACGCGAAACCGAUUUCUCGUUUUCGACUUCGCGAUUUCGCCUUUUCGCGAUUUCGCGUUUUCGCCCUAUAGAAUAUGAAAGGCGAAAUCGCGAAAACGCGAAUGGACUUCACCGGCCA
rnacentral:lncRNA from 1 species